rnacentral:rRNA from 1 species
GGGGUGAGCAGGGGCGAAAACUUUUGAAUGGUGGCAACAGCUAUCAGGGGACCUCUAAUGGCAGGAUACUAAUCUGGCUGUCUUGAUGCCUAGUAAGCAUUGCGUAGAAUAGGGCGGGGAACACCAGUGCCAGCCGCCGCGGUAACACCGGCGGCUCCAGUGGUAACCGUUAUUAUUGGGUCUAAAGGGUCUGUAGCCGGCCGAAUAAUUCUCUUGGGAAAUCUGGCAGCUUAUCUGUCAUGCUUUCAGGAGAUAAUGUCUGGCUCCAGGCCAGCAGAGGAGAGACGUACUUCUUGGGUAGGGGUGAAAUCUUGUAAUCCUUGAAGGACCACCACUGGCGAAGGCGUCUCACCAUAACGGACCUGACGACAAGGAACGAAAACUAGGGGCACAAACCGGAUUAUAUACCCCGGUAGUCCUACCCGUAAACGAUACUCCCUAGGUGUCGGCCACGGUGCAACCGUUGUCUGUGCCGUAGGGAAGCCGUGAAGCGAGCCACCUGGGAAGUACGGCCACAAGGCUAAAACUUAAAGGAAUUGGCGGGGGAGCAC